GACCGAUUGUUUGAUGAAAAGAAAUCCAGUGAAGGGAUAUUGCUCUGACACACAAGCGGAAAUGGUAGACUGUGGGGGCGAGCUUGUCUUCACAGAUGCACCGCAAAGGUUACUCUUCUUUGGAAAUCUACUUAAUGCGUGUCCUGAUGCAUCUCAUAGACAUGAAUGGAGAAAACGGUAUCAAAUCAUGAACGGAAUUUGUGACGGUUUAUAUUAUCUUCACAUUGUUCACUUGAAUCUGAAACCUACAAAUAUAUUGCUAGAAAAUUGCGGAUUUUGGUCUCUCGAGGUAUGAAAAACUCACCUGGAUAAUUACUUUA